AGUCAUUUUUACUUUCAGGUCCACUUCUCCAUAAGGGACAAAAGUAGCACAUUUAAAUUGAUAUUUUUCAAAUACUUGCAUUUAAUCACUAUGAAUAUGUAUUGCCUCCUACACAUACAACUGACAUAAAGUCAUGUAAUUUCAUAAUAAGUCAUAAUUAAGCUCCGAAUAGAAUAUUAAGAACUAUAUCAGAUGUAAUACAUAACAGAAGGCAUUUUUAACCCCAUUAUUUUGAGUUUCAGGGGCAUUUUACAGCUUUAUGAGGGCUGUUUCUACUUCAUAGUGACAUCAACAUCAGUUCAUAUUUUAUUCCAUUAUAUUGGAUUAUCAUUGAGUAUUACUAGAGCAGAUAACACGUUUCUGUCCCUGACAUUACAUAAGAAUGGCGUUUGUUGUUUAUUUACAUGAGGGCGUAUUCUCUGGUGAUUAAUGAUGAUAUUUGCAUGUUGUACAUAAAGACACUGUUGUUUCAAAGGUCUGUGGGAGUUUGGUAAUGUCACUGUUCUCAUGAAGCAUUACUCCAGUUGCUUUUGUGUUGAUCUGUUGAUGUGAACGUUUUAAUUUGAUGUCAAUGUUGGAAUGCCCAAUUCCCGCUACUUAGCAGGUCCUCGUGGUGGCGCAGUUACUCCCCUCAAUCCGGGUGGCGGAGGACGAGUCUCAGUUGCCUCCGCUUCUGAGAAUGUCAAUCCGUGCAUCUGUUCACGUGACUCGUUGUGCAUGACACCGCGGAGACUCACAGCAUGUGGAGACUCAUGCUACUCUCCACGAUCCACACACAACUCACCACACGCCCCAUUGAGAGAACCACUAAUCACCACCACGAGGAGGUUACCCCAUGUGACUCUACCCUCCCUAGCAACCGGCCCAAUUUGGUUACCCCAUGUGACUCUACUCUCCCUAGCAACCAGCGCAAUUUGGUUACCCCAUGUGACUCUACCCUCCCUAGCAACCAGCGCAAUUUGGUUACCCCAUGUGACUCUACUCUCCCUAGCAACCGGGCCAAUUUGGUUACCCCAUGUGACUCUACCCUCCCUAGCAACCGGGCCAAUUUGGUUACCCCAUGUGAGUCUACCCUCCCUAGCAACCAGGCCAAUUUGGUUACCCCAUGUGAGUCUACCCUCCCUAACAACCGGGCCAAUUUGGUUACCCCAUGUGAGUCUACCGUCCCUAGCAACCAGGCCAAUUUGGUUACCCCAUGUGAGUCUACCCUCCCUAGCAACCAGGCCAAUUUGGUUACCCCAUGUGAGUCUACCGUCCCUAGCAACCAGGCCAAUUUGGUUACCCCAUGUGAGUCUACCCUCCCUAGCAACCAGGCCAAUUUGGUUACCCCAUGUGACUCUACCCUCCCUAGCAACCAGGCCAAUUUGGUUACCCCAUGUGAGUCUACCCUCCCUAGCAACCAGGCCAAUUUGGUUACCCCAUGUGACUCUACCCUUCCUAGCAACCGGGCCAAUUUGGUUACCCCAUGUGACUCUACCCUCCCUAGCAACCGGGCCAAUUUGGUAACCCAAUUGUGAAUAUCUUGACACUAUCUGUAAAAUGUUGGAUAUAAAUACUAAUGUAAGUCAGGACAUAUAUUUCAUGGGUGACUUAAACAUUGACUGGUUUUCUAAAGACUGUGACUUGAAAAGAAAACUGUUAACUACUGCAAAUGCAUUUGGACUUAGUCAACUGAUAAAUAAGCCCACAAGAACACGUUUCAAGAGCGAUGGCUCCAGAACAUCUACUUGUAUAGAUCAUAUUUUUACAAACCGUCCUGAACUGUGUAAAAAGGUACUGUCUAUUCCCACUGGUAGCAGUGAUCAUAAUUUGAUCAUUUCUGCGUUAACAACCAAGUUGAGUGGAUCUGGAACUGCAGUCUUAUUUAAAAGAUCAUAUAAAUUGUUUAAAAAUGACAAGUUUAUUGAAGAUGUUCAAGCUAUAUGCUGGUCUGAUGUGUUGGCUGCUAGUAAUCCAGAAAUUGCUCUCUUUAAAUUUAACAAUCUAUUCUUGUCACUGAUUGAGAAACAUGUGCCUUUAAAGAAGUUUACUGUCAGGAACAACGUCACACCUUGGUUGGAUGAUGAACUGAAAAAUUCUAUGAAAAUAAGAGAUCAAAUGAAAAGAACAGCAGUUACUACAGGAAAUAAAUGUGAUUGGGACCUAUAUCGUAAAAUGAGAAAUUCUGUUACUAAACUUAAUAAAAAGAAGAAAAUCUAUUUUGAUAAUCAUGUUAAAAAUAUAGGUAAUGAUAAUAGGAAGUUAUGGAACGUUUUAAAUCAAUUGACUGGAAAGAAAAAUAAAAUAAAUCCAUCUUUUUUGGAAACAGGGGAUACAUUUAUAAUUAAGCCAAUAGAUAUUGCAAAUUAUCUUAAUGAUUAUUUUAUAAGAAAAUUAGAUAAACUAAGAGAAAAUAUGCCUAAUCUAAGUAAUGACAUAUCUUACCUAUUAAUAAGAAAUGAAUUCAUGAAAAAUAAAAAUGUAAGGUUUAAAUUAGAAAGUGUAAAUAUAGAUCAAGUAAAGAAUCUUUUAAAAUCUUGCAUAAACAAACCACCAGGUGUCGACGGUCUUGACAGCAGGCUUCUGAAACUAGCUGCUGACUUUAUUGCCCCGGUUCUAACCCAUAUCAUUAACCUCAGUUUUAUCUGCUGUACCUGCCCACAGGCAUGGAAGCAGGCUAAAAUAGUUCCUCUGCCCAAAGAUAAAAAACUGCCUUUCUCUGGUCCCAACAGUCGCCCGAUAACCUGUAUUAUCUAAAAUAAUGGAAUCUAUAGUGUACGAUCAAAUUAAUAAUUAUUUUUAUACAAAUCAUUUAUUAACAGAUUUUCAGCAUGCAUACAGAAAAAGUCACUCCACUGCCACUGCACUGACUCAUAUGUCUGAUGAUUGGCUUAGAGAGACUGAAAAGAGAAAUAUUACAGGUGUUGUGUUUUUAGAUUUUUCUGCUGCAUUUGACAUCAUAGAUCACGACCUGUUAUUAACAAAAUUAUCUUGUUAUGGUUUUGAGCAAUCAGCAAUCACAUGGAUGUACAGUUAUUUGUCAGACAGAACACAGACAGUGUUUUUUAAUGGCAGUUUCUCAGGAAUCAGAAAUAUUACAUGUGGAGUACCCCAAGGCAGUUGUCUGGGUCCAUUAUUAUUUAAUAUUUUUACUAAUGAUUUACCGUAUAUUUUAUGUAAGGCUAACAUUGUCAUGUACGCUGAUGAUUCAACUUAUAUACAUCAGCAAGUACGCAAAUGGAAUUAGAAAGUGUUUUAAAUAAAGAAUUACAAUAUGUAGUAGAUUGGAUCAAAUUAAAUAAACUGGCAUUAAAUACUGUAAAAACUAACUGCUUGAUUGUAGGUUCAAAUUAUAACAUUAAUCAAAAUCCUGUAAUUAAUAUUAAAAUUAAUAACGCAAUUAUUGAACAGGUGCAUGAGACCAGACUGCUGGGUGUAAUAGCUGACUCUAGAUUAUCGUGGAAAAAACAUAUUAGUAAUAUUAUUGCAAAAAUGGGAAGAGGUAUAUCUAUUAUGAGAAGACACGCACAUUUUUUAACUUGAAAUAUUAUGAAUUAUGCGAUGAAAGCACUAAUAUUGACAUACCUCGACUAUUGCCAAAUGUCACUGGUGAAUAUAUGAAUAAAUUACAACUUAUACAGAAUAGAGCGGCUCGUGUAGCACUUAGGUGCAGCUAUAGGAGAAAUAUUAUAUUAAUACACAAAGAUCUUAAUUGGUUGUUGGUUGAAGAUAGACUGUUGUAUUCACUGUUAAUUUUCAUAAGAAAUAUUUCUAUUUCAAAAUUUCCUUCUGUUUUGUUCAAGCAUCUUUCUUUUAGUGUAGACAAUCAUCAGUACAGUACCAGACAUGCAACUAAAGGUAACUUCACCUUACCCAUAGUAAGAACAAAUGCCAUAAAAAACACUGUUGCGUUCAGAGGUAUGAGGGAAUGUAAUAAAUUGCCAAAACAUAUUAUGCUUACUAAUAAUGUAAAUAAAUUUAAAUUAUAUGUAAAACAGCAUCUAUUAAAAUAAUAUAUCUGACAGUUUAUAUUUAUUAAUAUAUGUGUGUGAAUAUGUAUGUACAUGCACAUGUGUAGGUAUGUAAUAGGCGUAUGUGUAGAAUGUGUUUUUAUAUAUGUGUGUCUUUCAUGCCCGUAUAAGGGGAUAUAUGUAUGUUGAUAUGUGUAUAUACACGUGUAUAUGUGUAUGUGUUGGUGUAUUUUUCUUUUUUCCCAUUUAUUUGUUGUAUUUUUAAUGUACAUAUUUUUCAGGACCCCAGGAAGAAUAGCUGCAGCACGGCUGUAGGUAAUGGGGAUCCUUUCAAUAAAAACAAAAAACAAACCCUAUGCGAGUCACUCAGCACGCUCUGGAUUCUGCUAUCUUUCAGAUCAUCCAGAGCAUCAGACAGGGGAUGUAAACACUGAGACGAGCAUCAGAAGCGUCGGCCCCUCUUAAAAACUGCUCUUCCAUCCACGUUUUUUCUCCAACGCUUCCUCUGUCAGCUUACGACUGAUUUUAAGCUUUGUGUGUGUUUUAAAAAUGAUCUGUAUCCCUUAACGUUAAACGUGAGGCUAGAACCUUCUGGAUGUGUCGUUGGCUGUUGCUCCUCAGGUGCGGUUACGAGUGUCACUCACAUGGGUGAAAUUAUCUUAUCUGGUUAUUGUUUCAUUGUUCAUAAACUGUAUAAAAGAUAUGACCAUGUGUAAAUUCAACAUCAAUAGCCAUAUGAUAUUUAUCUCUCUGUUACAGUAAAUUGAUGCUGUGUAAUGAUGAUUUUAUACAAAUACAAGUUAUUUUCUCUAUUGGCACUCUGUUUUAUUGUCAGAAUAAAGAACUGAGAAUAACUGGGUACACUAACAAAAAGUACCAUGUUUUAUAUAUGUAUAGUACAAUGGAAAUACCAUGUUUUUAGACCCAUGAUAGUUAUUUUAUUAGCGAGUGACUAUUCGCAUUAAGUGUAAAUAGCACCUGACACAGCGCCGCUAUUUGCACUCCAGUAGUGGAAACUGAACUUUGAUUACUAUCUGUGGGAGGGCGGGGCCAGGUCGUGAUGCAGCGACAGAGAGAGAGAUUUACGGGCAGCUGCCCGACACCUUUGUGUGUGUGUUUUGUCUUUUG